UACGUAGGUGGCAAGCGUUGUCCGGAUUUAUUGGGUUUAAAGGGUGCGUAGGCGGCCUAUUAAGUCAGUGCUGAAAUACUUCGGCUUAACCGGAGAGGUGGCAUUGAUACUGAUGGGCUUGAGUACAGAUGAGGUAGGCGGAAUUGACGGUGUAGCGGUGAAAAUGCUUAGAUAUCGUCAAGAAACACCUAUAGCGAAGGCAGCUUACUAGGCUGUAAACUACGCUGAGGCACGAAAAGUGUGGGGGAUCAAA
rnacentral:rRNA from 1 species